rnacentral:rRNA from 1 species
GACGAACGCUGGCGGCGUGCUUAACACAUGCAAGUCGAACGGAAAGGCCCUGCGUUUGUGGGGUUCUCGAGUGGCGAACGGGUGUGUAACACGUGAGUAACCUGCCCUUGACUUUGGGAUAACUUCAGGAAACUGGGGCGAAUACCGGAUAGGAUCUCCUGCUGCAUGUGGUGGGUUGGAAAGUUUCGGCUGUUGGGGAUGGACUCGCGGCUUAUCAGCUUGUUGGUGGGGUAGUGGCUUACCAAGGCUUUGACGGGUAGCCGGCCUGAGAGGGUGACCGGCCACAUUGGGACUGAGAUACGGACCAGACUCCUACGGGAGGCAGCAGUGGGGAAUAUUGCACAAUGGGCGGAAGCCUGAUGCAGCAACGCCGCGUGCGGGAUGACGGCCUUCGGGUUGUAAACCGCUUUCGCCUGUGACGAAGCGUGAGUGACGGUAAUGGGUAAAGAAGCACCGGCUAACUACGUG